GCUAUUUCUUGGGCCGCUCCUGCAGCACAUGGAGGUUCCCAGGCUAGGAGUCGAAUCAGAGCUGUAGCCACCGGCCUUCGCCAGAGCCACAGCAGUGCAGCCCGAGCCGUGUCUGCAACCUACACCACAGCUCACAGCAACGCUGGAUCGUUAACCCACUGAGCAAGGGAAGGGAACGAACCCGAAACCUUGUGGUUCCUAGUUGGAUUCGUUAACCACUGCGCCACGACGGGAACUCCUAAAUUCAGAAUGAUAGCUUUUUGCAAUUGGCAUUGACACCCCUACCUUGCACAUUGCAUGGAGAAACUGAUGGAACAGAGAAAUUAGGUAAUUUUUUUUUCAGUCAGCCACUGAUCUGGGAGUACAACCCAGAUCCACCCAGCUGGGACUGGUUCCUUUUCACUGUACGGUCCUGCCUGAAGAGGCUUAGGAUCCUUGGCGACAUCAUAUAUUGUAUCUCUGUUUUUUUUCUUUUCUUUUUAGGAUUGCACCCUCAGCAUAUGGAAGUUCCCAGGCUUGGGGAUGAAUUGGAGCCUCAGCUGCUGGCCUAUGCCACAGCCACAGCAGCGCAUGAUCUGAGCCCCAUCUGUGACCUACAGCAUAGCUCAUGGCAAUGUCUGAUCCUUAACCCACUGAGCGAGGGCAGGGAUUGAACCUGCAUUCUCACGGAUACUAGUCAGGUUCUCAACCCACUGAGCCACAACAUAUAUUGUAUCUCCAAACUUCUUGUUCUCUGUGAUUACCAAACACUGUUAUUUAUGGGAGUUCCCAUUGUGGCUCAGUGGUUAACGAAUCCGACCAGGAACGAUGAGGUUGAGGGUUCGAUUCCUGGCCUCGCUCAGUGGAUCCAAAAAAACCCCACUGUUAUUUGUUUUUGUCUUUUUGCUAUUUCUUGGGCCGCUCCCACGCCAUAUGGAGGUUCCCAGGCUAGGGGUUCAAUCGGAGCUGUAGCUGCCAGCCUACGCCAGAGCCACAGCCACUCGGGAUCCGAGCCGUGUCUGCAACCUACACCACAGCUCACGGCAACGCCGGAUCCUUAACCCACUGAGCAAGGCCAGGGAUGGAACCCGCAACGUCAUGGUUCCUGGUCAGAUUAACCACUGCGCCACGAUGGGAACUCCUAUUUGUGAAGCUUACUCAGUGGUCCAGGAUGCAAUUUCCCAUCAUCUUGUCUGUGCCUCUGUAUCAUUUACCUAAAUCCAAAAGAUGGGAAACUAAGGACCUUCCCCAAACUCUGGACUAUGAUAGUAGACAUCCCUGGCAGUAAAACAUGUUCUGGAAUCAAGAAAUGUUUGUGAUUUUUACCAGACUGCAGGCCCUUUUGAAUUCCCUACAACUUUAAAUUUCAUAUUCUUAAUGCAAGACUGUGCAAAGCAGUUUAGAAAACAAUACAAAGUUUUAGUAAAUUAAGGCAGUGUUUUGUUUUCUCCCGUCUCCUACUUAUUGCAUGUUCUUUUUCCCUUGCCAAUGAGGAGCAAGCUCAGCCAGAUGCAUACAGGGCUAACCAAUGGGUUCAUGUUCUAGAAGUAGAAUUUUCUUCUCUGAUUCAAACUCCCUAGUAAAAAAUUAUACUUUAGAUAGUUUUCUUAUCGUCACCCCAAAGGCACACAGAAGAAACUAGAGGAGAGUUUUCUGGAAGGACACAUCUGGUUCCUUUGUGUAAAUUUCAGUUGCUGUCUGUAAAAAUGUUUCAGCUUGCAAAAAACCUGGCUCAGUAUCAGACUUCACUUGAAUGUAGCAGUGAUUGGAGAGGAAAGGUCACGUAGGGCAAGAUCCUGUAUAGGAACAUAGUCUUCCACUGAAGUAUCUCCUUGGUCUCACCAAGCCUCAAUUUCCUCUUCACUAAAGAUAAAGUAAAAGAGUGACCUUCACUUUGCUGUACAGCAGAAAUUGGCAGAGCAUUUUGAAUCAACUAUAAUAGAAAAAUAAAAAUCUUAAAGGAGUGGACCUUGAGCUAGUCAGGGUCUUGGAUACAACAUCAAAAGCACAAGUAAUUAAAUAAAGAUAAGUUGGCCCUCAUCAAAAUUCAAACAUUUUGAACUUCAAAAGACACCAUUAACACAUGCAAAACAAACCACAGAUUCGAAGAAAAAAAUCCAAAGCAUAUAUAAUGAUAAAUGUCUUGUGUCUAAAAUACUUAUUUAGCAGUUCCCAUCGUGACUCAAGGAAACAAAUCUUACUAGUAACCAUAAGGACACAGGUUCGAUCCCUGGCCUCGCUCAGUGGGUUAAGGGUCCAGCGUUCCCAUGAGCUGUGGUGUAGGUCACAGAUGUGGUUCGGAUCCCAUGUGGUGUAGGCCAGCAGUUACAGCUCCAGUUCAACCCCUGGCUUGGGAACCUCCACAUGC
rnacentral:lncRNA from 1 species